rnacentral:rRNA from 1 species
AGUUUGAUUAUGGCUCAGGACGAACGCUGGCGGCGUGCCUAAUACAUGCAAGUCGAGCGGAGUUGAAUAAGUGCUUGCACUAAUUCAACUUAGCGGCGAACGGGUGAGUAACACGUAAAGAACCUGCCUCAUAGACUGGGACAACUACUGGAAACGGUAGCUAAUACCGGAUAACAUAUUUUUCUGCAUGGAAGAAUAUUGAAAGUCGGUCAUGCUGACACUAUGAGAUGGCCUUGCGGUGCAUUAGCUAGUUGGUAGGGUAAAGGCCUACCAAGGCGACGAUGCAUAGCCGACCUGAGAGGGUGAUCGGCCACACUGGGACUGAGACACGGCCCAGACUCCUACGGGAGGCAGCAGUAGGGAAUCUUCCGCAAUGGACGAAAGUCUGACGGAGCAACGCCGCGUGAGUGAAGAAGGAUUUCGGUUCGUAAAACUCUGUUGUUAGGGAAGAAUGAUUGUAUAGUAACUAUAUACA